AUUUGGUUUAUGUCAUGGAAUAC
rnacentral:piRNA from 1 species